GAUGAACGCUGGCGGCGUGCCUAAUACAUGCAAGUCGAGCGAACAGACGAGGAGCUUGCUCCUCUGACGUUAGCGGCGGACGGGUGAGUAACACGUGGAUAACCUACCUAUAAGACUGGGAUAACUUCGGGAAACCGGAGCUAAUACCGGAUAAUAUAUUGAACCGCAUGGUCCAAUAGUGAAAGACGGUUUUGCUGUCACUUAUAGAUGGAUCCGCGCCGCAUUAGCUAGUUGGUAAGGUAACAGCUUACCAAGGCAACGAUGCGUAGCCGACCUGAGAGGGUGAUCGGCCACACUGGAACUGAGACACGGUCCAGACUCCUACGGGAGGCAGCAGUAGGGAAUCUUCCGCAAUGGGCGAAAGCCUGACGGAGCAACGCCGCGUGAGUGAUGAAGGUCUUCGGAUCGUAAAACUCUGUUAUUAGGGAAGAACAAAUGUGUAAGUAACUAUGCACGUCUUGACGGUACCUAAUCAGAAAGCCACGGCUAACUACGUG
rnacentral:rRNA from 1 species